rnacentral:rRNA from 1 species
GUUUUUCGCUUAAGGAUGAGCCCAUAUAGGAUUAGCUAAUUGAUGAGAUAAUGGCUCACCAAGGCGACGAUCCCUAACUGGUCUUAGAGGAUGAUCAGUCACACUGGAACUGAGACACAGUCCAGACUCCUACGGGAGGCAGCAGUAGGGAAUAUUGCACAAUGGAGGAAACUCUGAUGCAGCGACGCCGCGUGAAUGAUGAAGGCCUUCGGGUCAUAAAGCUCUGUCAUAUGGGACUAACAAAAUG